rnacentral:rRNA from 1 species
ACGAACGCUGGCGGCGUGCUUAACACAUGCCCGUCGAACGGAAAGGCCCUGCUUUUGUGGGGUGCUCGAGUGGCGAACGGGUGAGUAACACGUGAGUAACCUGCCCUUGACUUUGGGAUAACUUCAGGAAACUGGGGCUAAUACCGGAUAGGAGCUCCUGCUGCAUGGUGGGGGUUGGAAAGUUUCGGCGGUUGGGGAUGGACUCGCGGCUUAUCAGCUUGUUGGUGGGGUAGUGGCUUACCAAGGCUUUGACGGGUAGCCGGCCUGAGAGGGUGACCGGCCACAUUGGGACUGAGAUACGGCCCAGACUCCUACGGGAGGCAGCAGUGGGGAAUAUUGCACAAUGGGCGGAAGCCUGAUGCAGCAACGCCGCGUGCGGGAUGACGGCCUUCGGGCUGUAAACCGCUUUCGCCUGUGACGAAGCGUGAGUGACGGUAAUGGGUAAAGAAGCACCGGCUAACUACGUG